rnacentral:rRNA from 1 species
GACGAACGCUGGCGGCGUGCUUAACACAUGCAAGUCGAACGAGUGGCGGACGGGUGAGUAAUGUCUGGGAAACUGCCUGAUGGAGGGGGAUAACUACUGGAAACGGUAGCUAAUACCGCAUACCAUCGGAUGUGCCCAGAUGGGGUUAGCUAGUAGGUGGGGUAAAGGCUCACCUAGGCGACGAUCCCUAGCUGGUCUGAGAGGAGGACCGGCCACACUGGAACUGAGACACGGUCCAGACUCCUACGGGAGGCAGCAGUGGGGAAUGUUGCGCAAUGGGCGCAAGCCUGAUGCAGCCAUGCCGCGUGUAUGAAGAAGGCCUUCGGGUUGUAAAGUACUUUCAGCGGGGAGGCGUUACCCGCAGAAGAAGCACCGGCUAACUCCGUGCCAGCAGCCGCGGUAAUUC